rnacentral:lncRNA from 3 species
AGCGAGCGCGGCAGCCACAGACAGAGCGGCGUGACGGGGUUAUCCUCCGUGGAGGCGACGAGCACGGCCGCAGCAGCGACGGCAGGUUCCCGGACUCGGAGCCAGCACGUUCAGCCGGAGCAACGGAGCACUACGUGCUUGCAGACGGCGAACGACACGACCAGACCGGCAUGGCCGCCGCGGCGAACGACACGACGCCGGCGCCGGGGCCGGGCUGCAGCUCAAGCUGCUGGUGGAAGCGCUCGCGUCGCGUGCUGUACACAGAGGCGCGUAAGGACGCGGUGGACUUCCUCAUCGGCCUCCUCCGCGUUCGUCUCGUUCGUCGCUGACGUCUCGCUGGAGGAGUUCGGUGACUCGCUGCAUGUGCCCGCCGAUCCCUUGCGCCGGCGAACUCCUGACCCUGCCGGAGAGCAACUCCGCUGUCGUCACCGACCGACCACUACUCUACGUACACGUACGUACGUCGUCAUAAAACUUGAAUAA